rnacentral:rRNA from 1 species
CAAAGGGCGUAUGGUGGAUGCCUUGGCGCCGGGAGCCGAUGAAGGACGCGGCCAACAGCGAAAUGCCUCGGGGAGCUGUAAGCAAGCAUUGAUCCGGGGGUGUCCGAAUGGGGGAACCCACCGGUCGUAAUGGGCCGGUACCCCUGCCUGAACACAUAGGGCAGGAGGAGGGAACGCGGGGAACUGAAACAUCUAAGUACCUGCAGGAAGAGAAAGAAAAACGUCUCCGCAAGGAGACGACGAUUUCCUAAGUAGCGGCGAGCGAACGGGAAAGAGCCCAAACCCGUUGUCUUUAGGGGCGACGGGGGUUGUAGGAUCGCCGACAAAGCCACCGGCGGAUCUAGCCGAAGCGGCCUGGAACGGCCCACCGCAGGAGGUGAGAGUCCUGUAGGCGAAAGGUCCAAAGGGGCUUGGCGACACCUGAGUACCACGGGGCACGUGGAACCCUGUGGGAAGCUGGGAGGACCACCUCCCAAGGCUAAAUACUACCCGGCGACCGAUAGUGAACCAGUACCGUGAGGGAAAGGUGAAAAGCACCCCUGGCGGGGAGUGAAAUAGAACCUGAAACCAUAUGCCUACAAGCGGUCGGAGCCCUAUGCCGUUGCUUCGGUAACGGAAAGGGUGACGGCGUACUUUUUGUAGAACGGUCCUGCGAGUUACCGUGGCAAGCAAGGUUAAGGCGUGAUAAGCCGGAGCCGUAGCGAAAGCGAGUCUGAAAAGGGCGAUUUAGUUUGUCGCGGUAGACCCGAAACCGGGUGAUCUAGCCAUGGCCAGAGUGAAGUCCCGUUAAACCGGGAUGGAGGCUCGAACCGAAUUGACGUUGAAAAGUCAUGGGAUGAGCUGUGGUUAGGGGUGAAAUGCCAAUCGAACCCGGAGAUAGCUGGUUCUCCCCGAAAUAGCUUUAGGGCUAGCCUCAGGGAUAACUUACGGAGGUAGAGCACUGAUUGGGCUAGGGGCCUUACCAGGUUACCGAACCCGUUCAAACUCCGAAUGCCGUAAGGGUGACCCUGGGAGUCAGACAGUGGGGGAUAAGCUCCAUUGUCAAAAGGGAAACAGCCCAGAUCUUCAGCUAAGGUCCCUAAGUUCGUGCUAAGUGGGAAACGAUGUGAAGAUGCACAGACAGCCAGGAUGUUGGCUUAGAAGCAGCCACCAUUCAAAGAGUGCGUAAUAGCUCACUGGUCAAGUGUCUUUGCGCGGAAAAUGUAACGGGGCUCAAGCACGGCACCGAAGCUAAGGAUUCUCGUAACUCGUCGCUGGUCGCUCGUCCCUCGUGGAGGUGGACGAUAUUCAAGGAUAUCGGAAGCUUGAAGUCUUCAAUGCAGCCUAUGAACUAUCGCUGGAACUGCAUAGAAUGACAAGAGAGCGUUUCCCCCACCACGAACAGACAGAAUUGGGCAGUCAAAUCCGACGGGCAAGCAAGUCAAUUGCGCUGAAUAUUGCGGAAGGAUACGGAAAGAGGAGUCUUUCGAAAAGAGAGUUCGCGAAGUAUCUUUUCAUAGCAAUGGGUUCAGCGGAUGAGCUUGCCGUCGAGCUAGAAUUCUGUCGAGACCUUGGUUAUGUCAGUAAGGAAGAAUAUGAGGUAUUGGCAGACCGGGUUAAUAAAAUCGGGCGACAGAUCAGGCACGCCGGUAAGGCGACUAAUCGAAUCCCAACGAUGAUUGAGCGAUUCGAGCGACGAGCGACGAGCGACGAGCUACGAGAGUGGUAGGGGAGCGUUGUACAUGCGGCGAAGCCGUACCGUAAGGAGCGGUGGAGCGUGUACAAGUGAGAAUGCAGGAAUAAGUAGCGAAAAGGCAGGUGAGAAUCCUGCCCGCCGAAAGCCUAAGGUUUCCUGAGGAAGGUUCGUCCGCUCAGGGUUAGGCGGGACCUAAGCUGAGGCCGAAAGGCGUAGGCGAUGGACAACGGGUCAACAUUCCCGUUCCGCCUGUUUCUGUUUGAGCGAAGGGGUGACGCGGAAGGGUAGGCCAUCCGGCAGAUGGAGGCCGGUCCAAGCGAGUAGGGUGUGCGGCAGGAAAAUCCGUCGCACAAAAAGCCCGAGACGUGACGGGGAGCGAAAUUUCAGUAGCGAACUGGUUGAUCCCAUGCCGCCAAGAAAAGCCUCUAGUGAGGGAACAGGCGCCCGUACCGCAAACCGACACAGGUAGGCGAGGAGAGAAUCCUAAGGCGCGCGAGAGAACCCCUGUUAAGGAACUCGGCAAAAUGGCCGCGUAACUUCGGGAGAAGCGGCGCCCCUGUACCGUGACCCGGCAUGCCCGGUGAGCGGGAAAGGGUUGCAGAGAAACGGCCCAGGCGACUGUUUAGCAAAAACACAGGUCCCUGCUAAGCCGAAAGGCGACGUAUAGGGGCUGACGCCUGCCCAGUGCCGGAAGGUUAAGGGGAAGGCUCAGCCGGUGCUUGCACCGGCGAAGGUCUGAACCUAAGCCCCGGUAAACGGCGGCCGUAACUAUAACGGUCCUAAGGUAGCGAAAUUCCUUGUCGGGUAAGUUCCGACCUGCACGAAAGGCGUAACGAUCUGGGCGCUGUCUCAAUGGGGGGCUCGGCGAAAUUGUAAUACCGGUGAAGAUACCGGUUACCCGCGGUUAGACGGAAAGACCCCGUGGAGCUUUACUCUAGCCUGGCACUGAGUUUUGGUUAUAGAUGUACAGGAUAGGUGGGAGCCUGAGAAACCGGGACGCUAGUUCUGGUGGAGGCAAAGGUGGGAUACCACCCUUUUAUGACUGAAAUUCUAACCACAAGCCGUGAUCCGGUUGUGGGACAAUGCCUGGUGGGGAGUUUGACUGGGGCGGUCGCCUCCCAAAAGGUAACGGAGGCGCCCAAAGGUUCCCUCAGCGCGGUUGGAAAUCGCGCGUGGAGCGUAAAGGCAGAAGGGAGCUUGACUGCGAGACGGACAUGUCGAGCAGGGACGAAAGUCGGGCUUAGUGACCCGGUGGUACCGAGUGGAAGGGCCAUCGCUCAACGGAUAAAAGCUACCCCGGGGAUAACAGGCUGAUCUCCCCCAAGAGUCCAUAUCGACGGGGAGGUUUGGCACCUCGAUGUCGGCUCGUCGCAUCCUGGGGCUGGAGUCGGUCCCAAGGGUUGGGCUGUUCGCCCAUUAAAGCGGUACGCGAGCUGGGUUCAGAACGUCGUGAGACAGUUCGGUCCCUAUCUACCGCGGGCGCAGGAGAUUUGCGAGGGUCUGUCCUUAGUACGAGAGGACCGGGAUGGACGCACCUCUGGUCUACCAGUUGUCCCGCCCGGGGCACGGCUGGACCGCCAUGUGCGGAACGGAUAAACGCUGAAGGCAUCUAAGCGUGAAGCCGUCCUCAAGAUUAGAUCUCCCAUCUUCGGAGGCUUGCCUCUGAAGAGUAAGACCCCUUGUAGAUUACAAGGUUGAUAGGCCGGGUGUGUAAGUGCAGUAAUGUACUGAGCUGGCCGGUACUAAUAGGUCGAGGGCUUGACCA